rnacentral:rRNA from 1 species
CAGCAGCCACGGUAAUACGAAGGUCCCGAGCGUUGUUCGGAAUCACUGGGCGUAAAGGGAGCGUAGGCGGCGUGGUAAGUCAGAUGUGAAAUCCCGGGGCUCAACCCCGGAACUGCAUCCGAUACUGCCAUGCUAGAGGAUUGGAGAGGUAGCUGGAAUUCUUGGUGUAGCAGUGAAAUGCGUGGAGAUCAAGAGGAACACUCGUGGCGAAAGCGAGCUACUGGACAAUAACUGACGCUGAGGCUCGAAGGCCAGGGUAGCGAAAGGGAUUAGAUACCCGCGUAGUCCCUGUCUCUUAUAC